rnacentral:rRNA from 1 species
UACCAGCACCCCGAGUGGUCGGGACGUUUAUUGGGCCUAAAGCAUCCGUAGCCGGUUCUACAAGUCUUCCGUUAAAUCCAGCUGCUUAACAGAUGGGCUGCGGAAGAUACUAUGGAGCUAGGAGGCGGGAGAGGCAAGCGGUACUCGAUGGGAAGGGGUAAAAUCCGUUGAUCCAUUGAAGACCACCAGUGGCGAAGGCGGCUUGCCAGAACGCGCUCGACGGUGAGGGAUGAAAGCUGGGGGAGCAAACCGG